UGACCAGAAUGGUGAAAUACGUCUACGGUUGAAAAAUCACGGUAUUCCGGUCAUGUCUCGGUGCCGAUAGUUGCGGUCAAUGCAAUUUUCCAUUCUUUCUCCCUAUGGGUAGCCCUAUCUUCGGUGGUUAUUUUGCGUAAAAUUUUUAUACGACUUAUUGGGUCUCAUCGAUUUGAAAAUAUUUUCAGUUGAAGGUCCGGCCAAAAUACGUAAUUUAGACAGUCCAAUGACCUUUUCCGUGCGUUUAGGGGUUUGACUUAACGGAUUGACCGUCUGGAUCGAGCCCUUAACCUUGUCGGAUCAAGUUGAAUUUUUUCCCAUACAUGUAUUUUAUCAUGAUGGUCAGAUCUGACGGUCGGAUUUUCGUUCUAAAGUUUGAUCAUCACGAGCAGCAGUCACAGUUUGACGAAUGUAUAAAAAGUUAUAAAGCCGACGAAUUUAAAAGGUUAUAGCCGACGAAAUAAUUAUUUCGUCGGCUAAAGUGUUAUGUUAGCCGACGAAAUUAUUACCUUUAGCCGACGAAAUAAUUUUUUCGUUGGCUAAAGUGUUCGGGUAUAACCCCGCUCGACUAGUUGUAAACCUUAGCCUCCUUUUCCUCUCCCUCUCCGAAAUUUCCCCUCCUCCGCCUCCGCUCACUCUCCCGGUCUCGGCCUCUGUUGGGUAAAAAUUGUAAUCAAAUGUACCCAACAAAAUCUCACUCUAUCUUAUUAAUUAAAAUAGAGUUUUAAUUAUGUCUGGUUCGACCCAUUCAGAAUAAAAUAAAUUCCUUAAUUACAACCCUUGCUUUCAAGGGAAGACCCUUUGAUUCUAAUUACAAAGUAACAAAUGGGGAAUGUGUGUUUGAGGGGAAUUGCGACUGCACCCGAUUUAUUUUACAGGUUGCCUACGUACCCCAUGAGGGAUCAAGUCACUCGUAGUUCAAGUUUUAUGGCUUUUGGGGUUUCGACUAAGUAGAUGACUUGUCGAAAAGUUUGGUUAUGUGUUUGGGAAUUUGGCUUGGAAAGAACCAAGGAUUUGGCUUUAAAUAUGGUUGUAUCCAGAUUUAAAUCCGGACUGCCUACAUACCCUGUGAAGGGAUCAAACCAUUGUAGUUCGCAAAUUUGGGUAUUUUGAGAUUUCUCGGUUUUGCACCAAGUUUAGAUUUUUUGGUAUUGAAGUUGGGUAUUUUGAUUUGGACACCCGGAACUUCAAGUAAACAAAAAGGACACCCAAAGACUUGUUUCUGUUUUGGACACCCGGUUUAUUUCUUGGAGACCCGUCAACUAACUGCUUCCGCUCUUCUUAUUUUUUUCUUUUCUUCUCCCAGAACACUUUUGCUUCUUGCUGCAGUAGGAGGCGAGCUUGAAGGUUGAAAAGAUGGGUUCGGAUACAGAGACCAAAUUGGAGUCGGAUUCGAGGCUGGCAAUUGGGUUUUAUAC
rnacentral:lncRNA from 1 species